GGUUAAGCGACUAAGCGUACACGGUGGAUGCCCUGGCAGUCAGAGGCGAUGAAGGACGUGCUAAUCUGCGAUAAGCGUCGGUAAGGUGAUAUGAACCGUUAUAACCGGCGAUUUCCGAAUGGGGAAACCCAGUGUGAUUCGUCACACUAUCAUUAACUGAAUCCAUAGGUUAAUGAGGCGAACCGGGGGAACUGAAACAUCUAAGUACCCCGAGGAAAAGAAAUCAACCGAGAUUCCCCCAGUAGCGGCGAGCGAACGGGGAGCAGCCCAGAGCCUGAAUCAGUGUGUGUGUUAGUGGAAGCGUCUGGAAAGGCGUGCGAUACAGGGUGACAGCCCCGUACACAAAAAUGCACAUACUGUGAGCUCGAUGAGUAGGGCGGGACACGUGGUAUCCUGUCUGAAUAUGGGGGGACCAUCCUCCAAGGCUAAAUACUCCUGACUGACCGAUAGUGAACCAGUACCGUGAGGGAAAGGCGAAAAGAACCCCGGCGAGGGGAGUGAAAAAGAACCUGAAACCGUGUACGUACAAGCAGUGGGAGCACGCUUAGGCGUGUGACUGCGUACCUUUUGUAUAAUGGGUCAGCGACUUAUAUUCUGUAGCAAGGUUAACCGAAUAGGGGAGCCGAAGGGAAACCGAGUCUUAACUGGGCGUUAAGUUGCAGGGUAUAGACCCGAAACCCGGUGAUCUAGCCAUGGGCAGGUUGAAGGUUGGGUAACACUAACUGGAGGACCGAACCGACUAAUGUUGAAAAAUUAGCGGAUGACUUGUGGCUGGGGGUGAAAGGCCAAUCAAACCGGGAGAUAGCUGGUUCUCCCCGAAAGCUAUUUAGGUAGCGCCUCGUGAAUUCAUCUCCGGGGGUAGAGCACUGUUUCGGCAAGGGGGUCAUCCCGACUUACCAA
rnacentral:rRNA from 1 species